GCGGGCGUCGCCAAGUGGUAAGGCGUCAGCCUUCCAAGCUGAUAUUCGUGGGUUCGAAUCCCAUCGCCCGCU
rnacentral:tRNA from 1 species